GUGGGGAAUAUUGGACAAUGGGCGCAAGCCUGAUCCAGCCAUGCCGCGUGAGUGAUGAAGGCCCUAGGGUUGUAAAGCUCUUUCACCGGAGAAGAUAAUGACGGUAUCCGGAGAAGAAGCCCCGGCUAACUCCGUGCCAGCAGCCGCGGUAAUACGGAGGGGGCUAGCGUUGUUCGGAAUUACUGGGCGUAAAGCGCACGUAGGUGGAACAGAAAGUCAGAGGUGAAAUCCCAGGGCUCAAACUUGGAACUGCCUUUGAAACUCCUGUUCUUGAGUUCGAGAGAGGUGAGUGGAAUUCCGAGUGUAGAGGUGAAAUGCGUAGAGAUCGGGAGGAACAUCCGUGGCGAAGGCGGCCAUCUGGACCAGCACUGACACUGAGGCACGAAAGCGUGGGGAGCAAACAGGAUUAGAUACCCUUGUAGUCC
rnacentral:rRNA from 1 species